AUUGAACGCUGGCGGCAGGCCUAACACAUGCAAGUCGAACGGUAGCACAGAGAGCUUGCUCUCGGGUGACGAGUGGCGGACGGGUGAGUAAUGUCUGGGAAACUGCCUGAUGGAGGGGGAUAACUACUGGAAACGGUAGCUAAUACCGCAUAACGUCGCAAGACCAAAGAGGGGGACCUUCGGGCCUCUUGCCAUCAGAUGUGCCCAGAUGGAUUAGCUAGUAGGUGGGGUAACGGCUCACCUAGGCGACGAUCCCUAGCUGGUC
rnacentral:rRNA from 1 species